CGCCUCUUGUGAUCAAGAAAUAAGAGGUCCCGCCUGCCCUGUGACUAUAAGUUUAACGGCCGCGGUAUUUUGACCGUGCGAAGGUAGCGCAAUCACUUGUCUUUUAAAUGGAGACCUGUAUGAAUGGCAUAACGAGGGCUUAACUGUCUCCUUUUUCCAGUCAAUGAAAUUGAUUUCCCCGUGCAGAAGCGGGGAUAAAUACAUAAGACGAGAAGACCCUAUGGAGCUUUAGACACUAAAAUGGCCCAUGUCAAUAACCCCAAGAAAAAGGAAAAAACCAAAUGGGACCCACCUUGAUGUCUUUGGUUGGGGCGACCGCGGGGAAAUAAAUAACCCCCACGUGGAGUGGGAGCACCUCCUCCUAAAACUAAGAGUGACAACUCUAAUCAACAGAAAUUCUGACCAGGAAGAUCCGGCAAUGCCGAUCAACGGACCUAGUUACCCUAGGGAUAACAGCGCAAUCCUCUUUUAGAGCCCAUAUCGACAAGAGGGUUUACGACCUCGAUGUUGGAUCAGGACAUCCUAAUGGUGCAGCCGCUAUUAAGGGUUCGUUUGUUCAACGAUUAAAGUCCU
rnacentral:rRNA from 1 species